GCUGAAAUACCGGUUCCCGUAUGAUCAUCAAAGUUAAGCAAAGUCGAGGCUGGUUAGUACUUAUAUGGGUGACCGCUUGGGAAUCCCAUGUGCUGUAAG